UACAGAGGUGGCAAGCGUUGUUCGGAAUUACUGGGCGUAAAGGGCGAGUAGGUGGCCAUCUAAGUCAGACGUGAAAUCCCCGGCUUAACCUCGGGAACUGGCGUCUGAUACUGGACGGUCUUGAGUAUGGGGAGAGGAACGUAGAAGUUCCAGGUGUAGCGGUGAAAUGCGUAGAUAUCUGGAGGAAUACCGGUGGCGAAGGCGGCGUUCUGGACCAUUACUGACACUGAAUCGCG
rnacentral:rRNA from 1 species